rnacentral:rRNA from 1 species
CUUUUGCACUAAAAAGGACUUUUAAUUCAACAUCGAGGUCACAAACUUAUUUGUCAAUUAGAACUUUCUAAAUAAAUUAAGCUGUUAUCCCUAAAGUAACUUAUUCUUCUUUUAAAAAUUUUAGAUAUUAAGAUUCAAAGUCUUUAAAUUCAGAAAAAGAUUCUUUUUCUACCGCCCCAGUAAAAUACCCACCCUCUCGCCUAAAAGAAAAUUAGAUAUAAAGUUUUAUAGGGUCUUCUCGUCUUUAAGAAAUAUUUUAGCCUUCUUACUAAAAAGUCAACUUCAUCUCUUCACCUUUAAAAAAACUUUUCCAGUUUACCCUUUCAUUCCAG